rnacentral:rRNA from 1 species
AUUGAACGCUGGCGGAAUGCUUUACACAUGCAAGUCGAACGGUAGAGGGGGCAACCCCUUGAGAGUGGCGAACGGGUGAGUAAUAUAUCGGAACGUGCCCAGUCGUGGGGAUAACGUAGCGAAAGUUACGCUAAUACCGCAUACGAUCUAAGGAUGAAAGCGGGGGACUCGCAAGAGCCUCGCGCGAUUGGAGCGGCCGAUAUCAGAUUAGGUAGUCGGUGGGGUAAAGGCUCACCAAGCCAACGAUCUGUAGCUGGUCUGAGAGGACGACCAGCCACACUGGAACUGAGACACGGUCCAGACUCCUACGGAGGCAGCAGUGGGAAUUUUGGACAAUGGACGCAAGUCUGAUCAGCAUCGCGUGCAGGAUGAA